UUUUACAAUGGAGAGUUUGAUCCUGGCUCAGGAUGAACGCUAGCUAUAGGCUUAACACAUGCAAGUCGAGGGGAAACGGCAUUAUGUGCUUGCACAUUCUGGACGUCGACCGGCGCACGGGUGAGUAUCGCGUAUCCAACCUUCCCUCCACUCGGGGAUACCCCGUUGAAAGACGGCCUAAUACCCGAUGUUGUCCACAGAUGGCAUCUGACGUGGACCAAAGAUUCAUCGGUGGAGGAUGGGGAUGCGUCUGAUUAGCUUGUUGGUGCGGGUAACGGCCCACCAAGGCGACGAUCAGUAGGGGUUCUGAGAGGAAGGUCCCCCACA
rnacentral:rRNA from 1 species